rnacentral:rRNA from 1 species
GUCGGUGCUCGUUGAGUGGAGGUCACACCCGUUCCCAUUCCGAACACGGAAGUUAAGCUCCAUAUCGCCGAUGAUACUGCCUGGGCAACUGGGUGGGACAGUAGGUCAGUGCCGACA